AUUAUUAUAGUGUAAAGAACACAUUACAUUUUCAUUGUAAAGAUAAAGAUACUCUUUUAAAAAUA
rnacentral:tRNA from 1 species